AAUAGAUACCCGGGUAGUCCACGCCGUAAACGAUGUCGACUUGGAGGUUGUGCCCUUGAGGCGUGGCUUCCGGAGCUAACGCGUUAAGUCGACCGCCUGGGGAGUACGGCCGCAAGGUUAAAACUCAAAUGAAUUGACGGGGGCCCGCACAAGCGGUGGAGCAUGUGGUUUAAUUCGAUGCAACGCGAAGAACCUUACCUACUCUUGACAUCCAGAGAACUUGGCAGAGAUGCUUUGGUGCCUUCGGGAACUCUGAGACAGGUGCUGCAUGGCUGUCGUCAGCUCGUGUUGUGAAAUGUUGGGUUAAGUCCCGCAACGAGCGCAACCCUUAUCCUUUGUUGCCAGCGGUUAGGCCGGGAACGUCAAAGGAGACUGCCAGUGAUAAACUGGAGGAAGGUGGGGAUGACGUCAAGUCAUCAUGGCCCUUACGAGUAGGGCUACACACGUGCUACAAUGGCGCAUACAAAGAGAAGCGACCUCGCGAGAGCAAGCGGACCUCAUAAAGUGCGUCGUAGUCCGGAUUGGAGU
rnacentral:rRNA from 1 species